GUCCUUGUUGGUGCUCAUUUGUGCGUGGCGGCUCUUUGCCAGGGAGGCGGAUCUGCUGGCGCGGCACCGCGCUGACCAAGGUGCCACUCCCCUCGAGAAACUGUGCCAAAAUCUGGCUCCCAGCCGUGUGCUGACUCAUAGGCAGGGCCUUGAGCAGAAUCUGAGUUUCUUCUUCAUCCCAUGGUGAUUUUUUUUAAUCAGUGUACUGGAGAAUUACAAAUUGAGAAGCUAAGAACAAUGGAGAAACACACGAUGGACAGACACAUGGGAGAAAGAGCAUUCCCCAGUGUCAGGGAGCUUUUACACCCUGGGGAAUGGGGCCAGAGGAAGAGGUCCACAGCCAAUGGGAUACCAGUGAAGAGUGGUGAGGGGAGUGGCAGCCCAGGAGGGACCACCACGGGGCACUGAGGAUAUGUUCUAAGGAAAGCUGCAAGUCUGCCCAGAACCGUGGGGAGCUGAGAACUACAGAAAAGAAUCGCUUUGCCUGUUCCUACUUGCCACCCAUCUAUCCAGUGUCUGAAGACAGCAGAAGGAAGAGUAACUUCUUCACCAAGGAACAAGGAAUGCUUCCCAGACAAGAUAAUAACAAAUGGUGUUCAUUUUAGUCAGGUAUUCAUCUUCAAAAAAAGGAUCUCAAAGGUACAUCGCAUUCUGGUUCGUGUAUCUCCACAGAGGGGUUAUACUUUGGCAUCUGCACAGCAGCAGGAAGAAAUGCUGUUCUGCUCAUAAACAACUGAGAAUCUGAAACAACAACCUAAAAAACAUGAUUCUGAGAAUCUGGACAGUGCCAUGGGGAUGUUUAUCAGAAAGGACCCUUAACAAGUCAAAAACCUACCAUCUGCUAGAUGCUGCACUUCAGAGCCAGGGAAGCUCUGUCAGCAAGGUGGCAGGUGAAAAUGAAGUGGAGCGAGCCUCAGGAAAAAAAAAGACCAUGAACUGUGAUGAGAAGAAGACAUAAUGCAGCACUGACUGGAGUCUACUUGCCUUUUUUCAUCACUCUGUCUUUACUGCCAGUGGAAAAUGCAAAAGUGGUUCUACACUGCUAACAUAAACUUGUGGUUUAUCAUUCUGCCAGCUGGGUAUGUGCAAAACAUAACUCUACCAUCUACAAAACAUAACUCUAGUUUACAGAGUUUUUCUACAUUGUCUGGGACUCACACAAGGGCUGUGAUGCAAGUUCUGCUCAGACAUGGAUGAUGACAGAACACUGCAUGCUAUAAGCACAGUGUCUCCUGAUUAUGCCAUGCUCCUGCCUUCAUGCACUUGAUGACCUCUAUGGCCUCUACACCACAAGCACUACAUAAUCUCCUCCAUUCUAUAUUAGCAGCCAAGAUUCACGGAGGUGAAACAUUAAAUUGAUUGGCACACAGAUUAGUAUGUGCAAUCCUACCCAUGACACUGGUCAAUGCUUAAUUCCAGUUGUGGUUAUGGCGGCAAUUUUCAGAUUUUGG